CAUAAUUCGUAAAAAUAUACAGAAGAUAAUUUAGGUUACGGCUUUUGAGUUUGUUUUCCAGACUGAAUGUCCAUUCGUUAAACUUUUCGAAUUACGUCCGACAGCCCGUCAGAACUCCCCCCGCCAGUUUGGACUUCUCCGACCUGAACUGUCCAAUGAAACAACGCCCUUUGCAGGGCUCCGCAGGCGCUCUCCCCGCCCACGCCGGCGCUUCCGGUCCCUGCGCGCUGGUCCCGUUAGGAGGUCCUUUCAACUUCCGUUCUGCGGAGGGCUGGGGCCCCGGAGCUCGGAGGUUGCUUCUUUCUUGGUGAAGUCCUCACUAGGUCCUUAGUGUCGUGAGAGCAGAGGCUGUGUGCCGACGUUAGCCGCCGUGGUAACCCCAAAACACGCCGGGGACGCUCUAACGUCGGCCCUUUGCCCGAGGUGAUCAUCGCUAAGUAAGGAGGCGAAUGAGCGGAAACCUGCAUAUGGAGAAAGGCAGGUGAUGAUACGGGAGAGGGCGGGAGAACCGACUCUGCGAGUGUUAACUAAAGCGACCUGUGCCUGGCACAGGACUGAAUGAAAGGUGAAGGCGUGAUCCCCGUCUCCCAGGGACCUACAGGCUUGUGCUUUGGUUGCCACGUUGGAAGACUAUAGUAUUGGCAUCAGUAUCUCUCGAGUUUUCUAGGAGUACAGCGCAGCAUCUCCCAUGUUAGAUCUGGGUCUGUGUUUUUACAGGACCUGGCGUGAACCGUAUGCACAUUAACGUUUCAGAGAGGCCGGUAGUGUAGACAUUACAAGGCACAGGCAAACUUGUGUUUUCUUUUGCUUCUGUCUGAAUUGUUUCACGACUACAACUGUAUCAAGUGGAUGUAGCCGUUAAGAACCUGUGCCAACCCAAUUUCUGUGCCUUCAACACUUUCACUCCCCAAUCUAUACAGUAGAUUCCCCGGAUGUGGUAGACUUACUCUAGUGAUGCAUGAGAUGAUUAUAAAUUAGCACACGAAUAAACGUUGUUCCAUUUUAAUGACUAUAUAUUGUGUUAUGGCAAGCAAUCCCGGUAAAUGAAUUCCUUAAAUACAUUUAUUAAAAUAUGUUGGCUUAAAAA